AGAUCUUACAUUUCUGGAGAGAAUCAAUAUAAACACUUUCUUUUGUCUUUCCUUUAUUUUUUUUCCCCUUUACCCAUUGUACUGCCUCCUAUUUCACUGUCUGCUGUCUACCAGCGCCUAAGGAAACUGUGAUUGGUAAUUACUGGUGCCUGGUGCUGCCCAGCCUGCAACAAAAUUGCUCAGUGUGAAAGCUGUGAGCAAAAUAAUGCAGUUGGAUUCCCUUAGAUGUGACAGACAUUCAUCCUGAUCCUUAAUUCAGUUUCCAUUGGGAGGACAGAUCUCAGCUGCCUCUUCAUUUCCUGGUUUGGAGACUGACUCAGAAUUGAAGACAUUAAGCAUUAAAAUUAGCUGAAAAAUAAAGGGUGGAGAUGCGAAUAAUGUCAGGGACUUUGCAUUCUAUUUCUCACGAGCUUUCAAACUUGUUCAACUUUUAAGAAAAGUCUUGUUUAAUACUUGUUGUUCCAGCUACUUUUAGAAGACAUUUUGGAAGACAGGAAGGCCAGAUACUUCAGGCAAGAGGCAUAAUGACUUGGGGCACAGACCACUAAAAAAAAAAAAUCAAUCCUGAAUCCCUGAGGCUUCUGUACUCUUGUUGAGAAGGCAGAACCUAGUGUUUCAUCAAAUUUUUUGUGAUAACCAUUGAUGACGUUGCAGAAACCAUGAUAAUGUAAAAUAAUGGAUUAAAUUUGUAUGAGCAUAACUGUAGUGAUGAAACAAUUUAAACUCAUUUCUGAAGGCAUUCAUGCACUGGUGCUUGCUCAGGGUGUGAGCUAGAAGGCCACUAUCCCUUCAAAAUUAGACAGAGAUGUUGAUGACCAUUCUCAGUUAUUAUACUUCUAAAUUACAGCCUGUCCUCAUCCUUGAAGAUCAAAAAGGGAGUAAUUUCUGUUUUACAGGAGAUUACUCGCACUACAAGUCUAACUCUUGUUCACUUUGAGGUACUUAAAUAAAUCUGGAGCCCUGGCUGUAGGACAGACAGACAGUUCCAGUGGGAAAAUCAGCUCUGAAUUUCAUAAUGGGAAUUUCAUUCAUUUUCUGAAUGUGUUCAUCCUUAUCCAUUAGCCCAGAGGACCCAGGACUAGCAGACGCCUUUGAAAUUCAGCCCACUGCCUCAGGUUAGAUUAAAUGAAUCCAUAGUUCUGAUCAGCAGAGUUAAAAAAAAAAAUACAAAACCCAAACCAACCAAAAAGCACAACAACCACAUACCAUAUAAUAAUAUGGAAGGAAAUAAAGGACAAGGGAUAUUUUUAUUUGUGCAGCUGACCAGAUAUUUCCAUCUUUGGAUUGCUCCCUCUGCUGCCUGCAAGGUAGCUGGAGGGGAGCUAGCAAAGCUACCCAGGUGGACUCUGCAUCCCUCUUCCUCGCCCAACUCCCAGCAUUAGAGAUGCCGACAGUUACUAGAUAAAGUUAAAGACUCAUGUAGUGAUCUUCACACUAAUUGGACUGUAAUGUAUAGCCUCGGUCAAGCAAAUCUCUCCCAGCACUCCUCUCCACAGACGGCAAUCAAGCCAUUUACAGAAGAUGCAUCGGCUGCUGGGACCCUGGAGUAACCUUAAACUACGCUGGCCUUUUAGCAGAAAACACAAUUAAUUUUGAUACUGAAGGGCAAUUAGGACUGGGGUUAAAAUAAAAAAUCUUCUGAACAGAGAAUGUCAAAGACUGGUAAGGAAACUAUUUCCCUUGUACACAGCUUGUUGAAGGUCUGUAAGCACGGCGACUGUCAGCUCACGUUAAUUCAUAUCACUUUGAAAACCUCUCAUUUCAAUGUAGGAAAUAUAAAUUCAGAUUAAUAAGCACUGUGCUCAAACC
rnacentral:lncRNA from 7 species